rnacentral:rRNA from 1 species
AGCAUAUCAAUAAGCGGAGGAAAAGAAACCAACAGGGAUUGCCCUAGUAACGGCGAGUGAAGCGGCAACAGCUCAAAUUUGAAAUCUGGCUCUUUCAGAGUCCGAGUUGUAAUUUGCAGAGGGCGCUUUGGCUUUGGCAGCGGUCCAAGUUCCUUGGAACAGGACGUCACAGAGGGUGAGAAUCCCGUACGUGGUCGCUAGCUAUUGCCGUGUAAAGCCCCUUCGACGAGUCGAGUUGUUUGGGAAUGCAGCUCUAAAUGGGAGGUAAAUUUCUUCUAAAGCUAAAUAUUGGCCAGAGACCGAUAGCGCACAAGUAGAGUGAUCGAAAGAUGAAAAGCACUUUGGAAAGAGAGUCAAACAGCACGUGAAAUUGUUGAAAGGGAAGCGCUUGCAGCCAGACUUGCUUGCAGUUGCUCAUCCGGGCUUUUGCCCGGUGCACUCUUCUGCAGGCAGGCCAGCAUCAGUUUGGGCGGUGGGAUAAAGGUCUCUGUCACGUACCUUCCUUCGGGUUGGCCUUAUAGGGGAGACGCCAUACCACCAGCCUGGACUGAGGUCCGCGCAUCUGCUAGGAUGCUGGCGUAAUGGCUGUAAGCGGCCCGUCUUGAAACACGGACCAAGGAGUCUAACAUCUAUGCGAGUGUUUGGGUGUCAAGCCCGAGCGCGUAAUGAAAGUGAACGGAGGUGGGAACCCGCAAGGGUGCACCAUCGACCGAUCCUGAAGUUUACGGAAGGAUUUGAGUAAGAGCAUGGCUGUUGGGACCCGAAAGAUGGUGAACUAUGCUUGAAUAGGGUGAAGCCAGAGGAAACUCUGGUGGAGGCUCGCAGCGGUUCUGACGUGCAAAUCGAUCGUCAAAUUUGGCAUAGGGCGAAAGACUAAUCGAACUA